rnacentral:rRNA from 1 species
CAAACCAAAGCUGGCGACCGGCGCACGGGUGAGUAACACGUAUCCAACCUGCCUCAUACUCGGGGAUAGCCUUUCGAAAGAAAGAUUAAUAUCCGAUAGCAUAUAUUUCCCGCAUGGGUUUUAUAUUAAAGAAAUUCGGUAUGAGAUGGGGAUGCGUCCCAUUAGUUUGUUGGGGGGUAACGGCCCACCAAGACUACGAUGGAUAGGGGUUCUGAGAGGAAGGUCCCCCACAUUGGAACUGAGACACGGUCCAA